GAUUAGAGUUUGGAUCAUGGCUCAGAAUUGAACGCUGGCGGCAGNGCCUAACACAUGCAAGUCGAGCGGUAACAUUUCAAAAGCUUGCUUUUGAAGAUGACGAGCGGCGGACGGGUGAGUAAUGCCUGGGAAUUUGCCCAUUUGAGGGGGAUAACAGUUGGAAACGACUGCUAAUACCGCAUACGCCCUACGGGGGAAAGGAGGGGACCUUUUGGCCUUCCGCAAAUGGAUAAGCCCAGGUGGGAUUAGCUAGUAGUGAGGUAAUGGCUCACCUAGGCGACGAUCCCUAGCUGUUCUGAGAGGAUGAUCAGCCACACUGGGACUGAGACACGGCCCAGACUCCUACGGGAGGCAGCAGUGGGGAAUAUUGCACAAUGGGCGCAAGCCUGAUGCAGCCAUGCCGCGUGUGUGAAGAAGGCCUUCGGGUUGUAAAGCACUUUUCAGCGAGGAGGAAAGGGUGCAGGUUAAUACCCUGCAUCUGUGACGUUACUCGCAGAAGAAGCACCGGCUAACUUCGUGCCAGCAGCCGCGGUAAUACGAGGGGUGCAAGCGUUAAUCGGAAUUACUGGGCGUAAAGCGUACGCAGGCGGUUUGUUAAGCGAGAUGUG
rnacentral:rRNA from 1 species